GGAGAGAUGUCCGAGCGGUUUAAGGAGCUAGUCUUGAAAACUAGUGAUGCGGCAACGUACCAAGGGUUCGAAUCCCUUUCUCUCCGCCA
rnacentral:tRNA from 1 species